AACGUUAUGUCUGAUUUAAGUAGUAAAUUGUAAAUUUAUUUAAGGGUGUAUACUAUAUCCCUAUCGUUA
rnacentral:tRNA from 1 species